rnacentral:rRNA from 1 species
GCCAGGCCCUACGGGGCGCAGCAGGCGCGAAACCUCUGCAAUGCGGGAAACCGUGACAGGGGGAUCCCAAGUGCUCAUGCAUUGCAUGGGCUGUUCUUUGGUCUAAGUAACCAGAGGAGUAAGGGCUGGGCAAGACCGGUGCCAGCCGCCGCGGUAAUACCGGCAGCUCGAGUGGUAGCCGCGAUUAUUGGGCCUAAAGCGUUCGUAGCCGGAUAAGUAAGUCUUUGGUUAAAUCCUGCGACUUAACCGUGGGAAAUCUAGAGAUACUGCUUGUCUUGAGACCGGGAGAGGUUGGAGGUACUCCUAGGGUAGGGGUGAAAUCCUGUAAUCCUAGGGGGACCACCUGUGGCGAAGGCGUCCAACUGGAACGGGUCUGACGGUGAGGGACGAAACCUAGGGGAGCGAGCCGGAUUAGAUACCCGGGUAGUCCUAGGCGUAAAUGAUGCGAGUUAAGUGUGGGGGCAUCUACGAGAUGGCCCUGUGCUGUAGGGUAGCCGUUAAACUCGCCGCCUGGGGAGUACGGUCGCAAGGCUGAAACUUAAAGGAAUUGGCGGGGGAGCACCACAAGAGGUGGAGGCUGCGGUUCAAUUGGAUUCAACGCCGGA